GAUCAUUACAGAAUGAAAAGUGCUUAACUGCAUUUUUUCUUACACAUGUGUUUUUCUUUUUUUGAAAACUUUGCUUUGGUAGGCCUUCUAUAUGGGGCCUGCCAGAGAUUAAACUCAACCAAAUUUUAUUUAAUGUCAACCGAUUAUUUAAUAGUCAAAACUUUCAACAACGGAUCUCUUGGUUCUCGCAUCGAUGAAGAACGCAGCGAAAUGCGAUAAGUAAUAUGAAUUGCAGAUAUUCGUGAAUCAUCGAAUCUUUGAACGCACAUUGCGCCCUUUGGUAUUCCAAAGGGCAUGCCUGUUUGAGCGUCAUUUCUCCCUCAAAUCCCUCGGGUUUGGUGUUGAGCGAUACGCUGGGUUUGCUUGAAAGAAAGGCGGAGUAUAAACUAAUGGAUAGGUUUUUUCCACCUCAUUGGUACAAACUCCAAAACUUGCUUCCAAAUUCGACCUCAAAUCAGGUAGGA
rnacentral:sRNA from 1 species